rnacentral:rRNA from 1 species
ACGGAAGGCAGCAGUGAGGAAUAUUGGUCAAUGGGCGGAAGCCUGAACCAGCCAAGUCGCGUGAAGGAUGAAGGUAUUAUGUAUUGUAAACUUCUUUAGACGUAGAGAAAUAAGAGGCUCGUGAGCCUUGAUGCUAGUAUACGUAGAAUAAGGAUCGGCUAACUCCGUGCCAGCAGCCGCGGUAAUACGGAGGAUCCGAGCGUUAUCCGGAUUUAUUGGGUUUAAAGGGUGCGCAGGCGGCCCUGUAAGUCAGCGGUUAAAUCGUGGAGCUCAACUCCAUCCCGCCGUUGAUACUGCAGGGCUUGAUUGCGGUCGAGGUUGGCGGAAUUCGCCGUGUAGCGGUGAAGUGCAUAGAUAUGGCGAAGAACUCCGAUUGCGUAGGCAGCUGACCAGGCCGUAAAUGACGCUCAUGCACGAAAGUGCGGGGAUCGAACAGGAUUAGAUACCCUGGUA